UCUGUGAUGCCCUUAGAUGUUCUGGGCUGCACGCGCGUUACACUGAUGCGAUCAAAGAGUUUAAUUUAAAUUUCCUUAUUUGAAAAGAUUGGGUAAACUUUAAAAUCGUAUCGUGAUUGGGAUAGUGCUUUGUAAUUAUCGCACUUGAACGAGGAAUUCCUAGUAGGUGCAAGUCAUCAUCUUGCUCCGAUUACGUCCCUGCCCUUUGUACACACCGC
rnacentral:rRNA from 1 species